CGCGCAGUGCGUUUAGGAAGUUGUACGCAUACCCAACUGAAGCUUUCUUCCCUUCUCCAGUGGAGUGCACCUGCACAGAAACUCUCUCUGUACCACGUACCUGCUGCCAGAAGCUGGGAAGGAGUGGUGCUGGUGAUUCAAAACUGAUUUUCCUGCCUCUUCGAUGCCUCUUUUAGUGACAUACAGUUAAGACCAGGCACUGCUGGACUGAAGUGGCAUGAUCACAGCUCGCUGCAACCUUAACCUCUUGGUCUCAAUUGAUCCUCCUACCUGAACCUCUCAAGUAGAGCUGGGACUACAGUGCACACCACCAUGCCCAGCAAUGUGUGAAAGAGCCUCUUUCCCUACUGCUUCACCAAGUUUAAAACUUCAAAUUUUUUCAACUUGAUAGGGUAUAACCAGGAGUUGCGAAGUGGUCGUAGUUGUUCAUGUCUCAAUCUGGAUCAUCUUUGCUUUUUGCUUCUGCUUUGUGCUAUCCCUCUUCCCGUACCUCAGUUCUAUCUGGAACCAUGAUCUGUGACUGCCAUGGAAAAGUGUUGGGCAGGAGGAGGCCAGCUGGGUCUUUGAAGUUGACAAUGGAGCCAGGAAUGAAAGCUGCACUUAGGAUGAGAAUUGCUUUCCCUGGAGCCAAGUCAGCAAAUGCAGUCUGGUUGUCAGAGCUGAGAGGCUUCACCAAGUCAAGUAGGGGAGGACAUCUUCACUCUGCAACUUGCCCUACUGAAUGCAGAAAGUACUGUCUACUUAGAUAAAGCCUACACUAAAAGGGAAUUGAAUCUCUGCAAAUAAGUAUGUGGAUCUAAUUUCUACCUUCCAGAUUAAAAGUAUAAUUAAAAAUGAAAA
rnacentral:lncRNA from 1 species